UGGGGAAUAUUGGACAAUGGGCGAAAGCCUGAUCCAGCCAUGCCGCGUGUGUGAAGAAGGUCUUCGGAUUGUAAAGCACUUUAAGUUGGGAGGAAGGGCAGUAAGCGAAUACCUUGCUGUUUUGACGUUACCGACAGAAUAAGCACCGGCUAACUCUGUGCCAGCAGCCGCGGUAAUACAGAGGGUGCAAGCGUUAAUCGGAAUUACUGGGCGUAAAGCGCGCGUAGGUGGUUCGUUAAGUUGAAUGUGAAAGCCCCGGGCUCAACCUGGGAACUGCAUCCAAAACUGGCGAGCUAGAGUAGGGCAGAGGGUGGUGGAAUUUCCUGUGUAGCGGUGAAAUGCGUAGAUAUAGGAAGGAACACCAGUGGCGAAGGCGACCACCUGGGCUCAAACUGACACUGAGGUGCGAAAGCGUGGGGAGCAAACAGG
rnacentral:rRNA from 1 species